rnacentral:rRNA from 1 species
CCCUUAGAUGUUCUGGGCUGCACGCGCGCUACACUGAUGCGUUCAACGAGUGUAUCACCUUUUCCGAUAGGAAUGGGUAAUCUUCUGAACACGCAUCGUGAUGGGGAUAGAUUAUUGUAAUUAUUAAUCUUCAACGAGGAAUUCCUAGUAAUGAUGAAUCAUCAGUUCAUCGUGAUUACGUCCCUGCCCUUUGUACACACCGCCCGUCGCUCCUACCGAUUGAAUGGUCCGGUGAAGCGUUCGGACCGUGGCCUUUGGACGGUUCGCCGUCUGUUGGCUGCGGGAAGUUCGUUAAACCUUAUCAUUUAGAGGAAGGAGAAGUCGUANCA